GUUUCAUGUUUCCUCUAUUUUACGUUAAGGACAACAGCUUGAACUAUGUACUGAAAGGAAAGAAUAGAAUAUAAAAAAUUAGUUGAGUUUUUACCUUAUCUUGUAAGGUUCAGUGGAGUAAGUGAAGAAUCAUUUGAAGGCUUAAUCAGACUUUGGAUCCUUAAACUGAACAAGCAAAAUUACUUAUAAUCCCCAUGCUAAAAUAUCAACAACGAGAACCUUCUAUCAAUUUGCUAUUUUCUUUUGAAACUAACUUAUGGUGUUAGGGGUAUGAGAGCUAAAAAUGAAAUCUUAAAAAAUAAUUUUUUUAAUAAGUAUUAUAAAAAAGAUUAAAAAUGAAAUCAAGUUGUGUAUUUCAAUCAAUGUAGAAAAUUGGUGUUGAUAACGUAAAUGGAGGGUUAGUUGUGUUGGGAUGGAGUUUGGCUGCGAUGUUUGUUGGUUUGAAAUGGCUGUUGUUGGAGUAAGUUGUGGCCUUGGGGUUCUCUAGAGUUGGUGUGGAUGAUGGCUUUGCUAUUUCAGGGUAGGGAGAAGUUGGGGAACAGUGAUUGCCACCAUCCUGUUAGGGACUCCGGUCUUGUCCCUAACACUAAGGACCACGAGCUUGCCUUGGUGAGGAUGAUGACCGAGUGAUCUUCCCAACUUGCUUGGCCUUUAACAAAGGGAUGGUGUUUGAGUGAAUGAAUGAUGGAGAUGAUGAACUUGGGUAGGCUAAGUGUUUAAGGAAGGCAAAAACAAUGUGGACAGCUAGGGUUUGUCUUGGUGAGUGGUGCUAAGUUGAUGGAGGCUAGGAUUGAAUGGAUGAGGUGAGGCUAGGGUUUCAGGUAGGAGGCAGCUAGGGUUUCAGGUAGGAGGCUACUAGGGUUGCCGAAUUAGGAUAAGGUGAAUUAGGGUUGCCGUGGGUUAGGAUGGGAAGUUAGGGUUUUUUGGGGGUGCAAGGCAACUAGGGUUGCCAUGGACUAUGGGGAUAGAUUAGGGUUGGCGAGAUUGGGGGGUUGGCUAGGAUUGGAUGAUUUGGAAAUGGAUACGGGAAGAUUCUAGGAUGGAAGGAAUCUCUUUAGGCAAGUGGAGGAUUCGGUUUUGGCUAGGAUGACAAGUCAAUGGUUGACUAGAGAGAUUUUAGGAAGGAGGGAUUUAAGGAAUUGAAGAGGAUUGGAAGAGUGGAGUGAUUCAAGGGAUGGAGAGAUUCUAUGGAAGUUCCUAGAAUUAGGGAAUGUGAUUGGAUUGAGUCAACUUUCCUUGAAUUAAGGAAGUUGCCAAAGAGGUCUCUUGAUGGACGGCUAGGGUUUGAAUGGAUGGAGGCAAGACUCCUAAAAGGAAAUAAUUACCUUUUAGAGACUUGAGGUUGGCGCCUAGGGUUUUAUGGAUAUGGAAAGAUUUAUGGGCAAGCCAAGUAUGGUAAGUAUGACUCACGGCUAGGGCAAUGUAUUUGAGGGAUGAAGGGCAAUUAUGGGAAGUGAACUAUUAUGGAAAGUAAGGCAACACUAGGGUUGGUCGAGUGGUGUAUGUGGGAAGAUCAAAAUGGAUGGAUGGAUAAGUUUGUGGCUGAGUAAAGUAAGUGGGAAAUAUGGCUAGGGUUUUAUGGAGGUGGCGGCAAGGUAAUUUAUGGAAGGUGGACUAGGGCAAACACUAUAGUGGGCGAGACUUAGUGUUUGGGUGGAUCAAAUGAGGCAAUGCGUGGAGGAUGGCAAUGAACAAUGGAUGAACACUACGAAUUCUCAAGAACAACUCAAGAACAAUGCACAUAAAAUAACAAGAUCAAAUGAUAGAAAAUGGAAGACAAGAGAUGGAAUGGAAAAUACUCAUAAGAUUAAUUGAUCCUUGGGGAUUCACGAAUUGCACCCUAAAGAUGAAAAGAACAAGAUAGAUAGAUUGAAUCACACGUAUUCACGAAUUACAAGGUGAUGAUUCUCUACUAGGGAUUCACAAAUUGCACC